rnacentral:tRNA from 3 species
AGAGUUAUAUUUAAUUAUAAUAUUUAAUUUGCAAUUAAAAGGUACUUUAAAAGUUAACUUUA